GACAAUGAGGAUGUGAACCGACUUCGGAUUCACAAAAAUGAUUUCUUUUUAAUUUAUUAGUUUAAGGUAAUUUUGACUUAAUAUACUCAACUUAAAUUGAGUCCUUGAGUCGAAAGUUGGUUUACGCUAAGUUGACUGUUGCUUUCUUUUACUGUUUAUUUUUGAGAGGUGACAAUGAAGGAUACUAAGUCCUGAUUUCUUUUUAAUUUAUUAGUUUAAGUUAAUUUUGACUUAAUAUACUCAACAACUUAAAUUAAGUCCUUGAGUUGAAAGUUGGUUUACACUAAGUUGACUUUUGUUUUCUUUUUUAUGUUUAUUUUUUAUAGGUGACAAUGAAGGAUACUAAGUCCAUCAUAUAAGAAGGCAUAGCAAGCAUAAAGAGUAGUUAAGGAGUUGCUUUAGAGGAUGACACGACCGUGCCAAAUUGAAGACACCAUUAUUGGUGAUAAAAAACUGAAAAGUACAUACAAAGCAUAAUAAGACCAAACCACAAAGAAAAAGGAGCAUAAGCAACUACAUUCACUGAAAAUAAUAAAUUGCAUGGAUUUUUUUUUUAAAGUGGAAAAUAAGAC
rnacentral:lncRNA from 1 species